AAAGACAAGUCUUAUUCUGUUACAUCGUUUAGGGCUGAAUUUAUAAUGGGGGGAAGGUUCUUAGAGGAGAACAGCUGUGCAUCCCUGGGAGUUGGGCAGAAACAAGCCAUACUUGUACACUUGUACACUCAGUUUAGGGAUAACUUGGGGUGUUUGGGCUUUAUCCUUUUAGGAUUAUUAAAUUAUAUGUCUGUAAGGAUGGUCAAUUUACAUUUGGCAAGAUAGUCCAAAUGGGAGGAAAUAAUGGCAAAUCCACUGAUGUCAUUGGUGCUGUCACCCAUGAGAAGGAAAGUUCCUACUCUCUCUGAGGUUCCUCUUGUCAUCUCUUAGACAGCUACAUAGAAAGUCAAUUCAGUUAAUAGGAACCUGUAGAUGAUUGUUAAUAUCCUCUGAUCUUGCCUCUAGUUACAUAAAUACUUAACAUGCCCUGGUUUUCUGUCUGCCCUCCUCAUUGAGAUUUUGUAAGAAUAGGUAUGUGGUGUUUGUUUCAAGUACGAACCCUUGGCAUGUUUUGUUUCUAAUAUUAUAUUAACAUCUUGCUAACAUAGGAUUGACUCAGUCAGCAUUGACACCCUUAUCUUCACUUUGGAGUUUACUAAUUGGAAGACACUUGCACCAGCUGUUGAAAGGAUGCUCUCUGCUCGUGCCUCAAACGCUUGGAUUCUACAGCAACAUAUUGCCACUGUUCCAUCCCUGACCCAUCUUUGUCGUUUGGAAAUUCGGUCCAGUCUAAAAUCAGAACGUCUACGGUCUGACAGUUAUAU
rnacentral:lncRNA from 1 species